rnacentral:rRNA from 1 species
CCUACGGGAGGCAGCAGUGGGGAAUAUUGCGCAAUGGGCGAAAGCCUGACGCAGCGACGUCGCGUGAGGGAUGAAGGUCUUCGGAUCGUAAACCUCUGUCUGCAGGGAAGUACGGUCACUGUGCUAAUCAGCAGUGCAUUUACGGUACCUGUAAAGGAAGCAUCGGCUAACUCCGUCCCAGCAGCCGCGGGAAUACGGAGGGUGCGUGCGUUAAUCGGAUUUACUGGGCGUAAAGGGCUCGUAGGCGGUAUGUCAAGUCAAGGGUGAAAUCCCCGGGCUCAACGUGGGGACUGCCUUUGAAACUGGCAAACUGGAGUGUGGGAGAGGAUAGUGGAAUUCGAGGUGUAGGAGUGAAAUCCGUAGAUAUCUGGAAGAACAUCGGUGGCGAAGGCGACUAUCUGGCACAUAACUGACGCUGAGGAGCGAAAGCGUGGGUAGCAAACAGGAUUAGAUACCCCAGUAGUC